rnacentral:misc_RNA from 1 species
GGAAGAUAAAGAAGGGGAAACGGGGAAGGAUAGAGGGGACGAUUGGAGAGAGGGAGACGAGAAGAGGGAGGCGUAGAGAUGGAGAGGAGAAGAGGGAGGGAAGAGAGUGACGGAGGGAGACGGGCAUCUCCGCCUUUUGUGGAGUUCCGCCGGAACAUGGAGGGAGGAGGGUCGCCGUCCUAGUUGUUGCUUUGCGGGCUGUUGUCAGCGCCGGACGCUGCUGCUCGCCAUUGGUGGAGCAACGAGACGGAGGCAUCAAGGAGCAGGGAGGAGGAAGAGAGAGGGAGGAG